AUACGGAAGGUCCGGGCGUUAUCCGGAUUUAUUGGGUUUAAAGGGAGCGCAGGCGGAGAUGCAAGCGUGACGUCAAAUUUCGGGGCUCAACCCCGUCUCGCGUCGCGAACUGCGUCCCUUGGUUGCGGGAAGGGGAGGCGGAACUCGUGGUGUAGCGGUGAAAUGCAUAGAUAUCACGGAGAACUCCGAUCGCGAAGGCAGCCUUCCUGCCCGUCAACGACGCUCAUGCUCGAAGGUGCGGGUAUCAAACAGGAUUAGAUACCCUGGUAGUCCGCACAGUAAACGAUGGACACCCGCGGUUUGGCCUGUAUGGCUGAGCCGCCAAGCGAAAGCGUUAAGUGUCCCACCUGGGGAGUACGCCGGCAACGGUGAAACUCAAAGGAAUUGACGGGG
rnacentral:rRNA from 1 species